rnacentral:rRNA from 1 species
UACAGAGGUCCCAAGCGUUGUUCGGAUUCAUUGGGCGUAAAGGGUGCGUAGGCGGCGCGGGAAGUCGGGUGUGAAAUCUCGGAGCUUAACUCCGAAACUGCAUUCGAUACUGCGGUGCUUGAGGACUGGAGAGGAGACUGGAAUUCAUGGUGUAGCAGUGAAAUGCGUAGAGAUCAUGAGGAAGACCAGUGGCGAAGGCGGGUCUCUGGACAGUUCCUGACACUGAGACACGAAGGCCAGGGGGAGCAAACGGG